GGGGUUGUGGCUCGGAGGUAGAGUACUCGCCUAGCAUGUGUGAGGCACUGGGUUCGAUCCUCAGCAACACAU
rnacentral:tRNA from 1 species